rnacentral:lncRNA from 1 species
UGGUUGACGAAAACGUCGUAUUCCACGAUGGCAUCGCCUUUGGAGAAAUCGACGGAGUGAAACUUGGCCUGAGCAUAGCCACGAGCGAAGCGAAAAGCCCCAGUGCCGCCAACAAUGGCCAUUUCCCUCACAGGUUCGGUCAUGAUCAUGUUUCUGGCCAAGACGCUGAUGGUGCUGCCGUUGAAUUCUCCGUCGGUGAAGGCCAUGGUCAUGACCAUCAUGAGCCCCAUUUCCGCCUGCGAUAUGGAAGUGUAAAUCCCCUGCGCCUUCCCCACCAGUUUGGAGUCGGGUUCGGGUCCCGCCGUCAAGGG